CUUUGUCCUGGUUCGAACCAAGAGAGAGAGAGGAGAAGCAAGUCUUCUCUCUUUCUCUUUUUCUCUCUAGCUUUCACCUUUCUCUCCCUCUCUUGUAAUCUCUCCACCAAAGAGAAUUAGUUGGAGGAGAAAUGGAGGUUUUGGAAGAUUCAAGUGGAGAAGAAGCUUGAAGAAGCUCUCUAAUGGUGGAUUUAGCUUGGAAGGCUAUGUAGUCAAGAUUCACACGCGAGCGGCGCGGCGGCGCGAGAAAAGGGUGUAGCUCCGUUGUUAGCUCCCUACCAUUGAGACCAGAUAGCAGUACCCCAAGUCAGCUUAGCCUAGGGGUAUAGGAAUGAAAAGAACAAUGUUGUAAUAAUUAUGUUAAAUUUGAUUGUAUUUGAAAGUAAGAAUCAAGAAUGCAAUGUAAUAUGUGAUGUAAGUGUUAAAUUGGGUUGAAUGAUUGUAAUAGUAUAGUGUUUAUAUUUUUGAUACCUUUCUUAUACAAUUUUUGUUUGUAUACUGUUCCUGGUCUAAAACUCGCGCAUUGUAUGGAUUGUGACGCCUUAGACGUACAGGGGAGACUCUGUCCGCGGUACAGGAAAAACCCUAUUUGUUCGGCGGUUUGUUGGCGUGCCCGAACCUACCAAAUUGGUGGGCUCGGGGCGUGAUAAUAGCUGCCAACUCUUGCACUC